AUGAAUGAAACUGGUGAGGAGCAGCUAAUGAAAUCUGAAACUGGAGAAGUUGAAGUUGCAUGCAAGAUAGUACACCGUACUCUAUUUCUACAAAAUGUUGAAGCUUCCAAGCGGAUGGAGAAUGAUACAUCUACAGGAAGGCCAUCUGUAGAAAGCAACAUCAUUAUCUUUAACCAACAACUGAACUACAGCAGCAUCGCACUAACAUCAGUUAGACGGCGAGGCAGGACGCAACAACAGCAGCUAGCAGCAACCAACAAAUGUAGGCUAGGUCAUGACGGCGGCAUCGAGAUGGAGGAGGUGUCGGGCCAUGGCAGUUAA
rnacentral:rRNA from 1 species